AACCUGGAGGGUCUCAUAAGAUAGUGGGGAGACAGCAUGCAAUACAAGACAGUGAUAGGCUGUGACCACCUGUAAUGACUCAACAGAGGAACACAGAAGGGGAGCCCAGCACUGUCUGUACUAGAGGCAGUUUGCCUGCCCCUGCGAAGGUCCUAGAUGGGGUCAGACCCAGCUCCGACACAGCCGAUCUUGGGAACUCGCUCUGAUACUUUCUUUUGCUCUUUCAUCUUUCUCCAGGCUCCCUCAUUCUCACUGCCUUUCACAUCACCCAAAUCAACACUCUGCUCACAAGCUCCAGUGACACUCUAAAGAUGGAGGAGAAGGCCCAGGUUGGAAGCAGGUGCCCAUGAGGAAGCCUUCGCAGAAUUUAGACCUUCAGGAAAGGGCAAGAGUUGCUGACAGUGCUACAAAACUACUCCUGUUUUCUUCAACCCACUGUCCAUCACUGGGCCUCGCUGGCAUCACUGCUCUGGAGCUCACUGUGGAGGAAAAUCACAGGAAGGAAUGGACAGGAGCAGGGAGCUGGACACUUCAGACUGGGCCGGGGUUCAGAUUGGCAGCAUGGUCUUCAGAUGGGCGGCACUGGUCUCAACUCAGAAAAGAGAAAUUUCCAUUUUGUUCCAGUGUGAUCUCUGCCUCCUUUGGCCUUGACUGUGAACAGCAAUCUCAGGUCUGGAUGAAUCUCGUUGGUGGUUCAUAG
rnacentral:lncRNA from 1 species